UUUCCGCUUCCACAAUUGUCUAUAGAUGUGCCAAUAAAGCCGCAUUAAGCGGCGCUUUAACACCGGUUAAUGCUUAUCUGAGACGAUGGGCUUUUAAAUUGAAAUCUCCCUGCCACAUGCUUGUAUCGGAAAACGCCGGCUGCAGACUGUUGUGUUUCUUCUCAGUUCGCCAGCUUGCAUGUUUCCAUCUCUUCGCGGCUUCAGUAGCGCCUCAGCACAGUGUUAUUUUCGCGGUGACGUUGUACGUGCAGCGGGAAUCGCUCGGCAGCAUUAGCAGAAGUCGCGCUCCUUUGUUCGCGUAUACGAUGUCUUUUAAAAAAGGAGCAACAUAAAACGACUGCUGCAUUUAAACCAUUAAACCAAACCGUUAUCGUUUCUUAAAGGCAAACCCUGUCUUAUUAACAUCAUUGCACGUUUGAACAAUUUGACGGCUUUGUAAGAGUCAUUUGAGUGUAUUUUUGGCGAGUGAAUCCCCUGGAUGGGUUGCACACAAGGACUGCGGACUUAUGAAACCAUUCGCGCUUAAAAUACUGCUGCAAAUGUGCUGGGUCAUUUUUACAGUCAAUACAAAUGAUGUACCCCCCCACAUACCCAGCGCUGGGUCAGUGUAACCCAAUGUUGGGUAGUCUGUGACAAACUGGUUAAAACUGGAUACGUUUGUCAGUGGUCAUUUUGUGUUCUGUCCUAACUCCUAAGAGAAACUUGACUGACGGGAAACUUCCUGAAUGGAAUUAAGCUAACAUCUGCUUGGAACUCUAGCCUUCUACAAACGCAGCAUUCACUGGAUCUACACUCAAAGUGAACGUCGCACCGGUGCCACCACGGAAGUUUCACCUCCAGUCAAAAUAAUGCUCGACCAGGGCUGAAACACAACGCUACUUCACUGUUAUAUGUAACAAAGUUUCUGUGCGCUCCACUGACUACAACAGGAGUGCUAUUGAUCUAGUGCGCCAUUUUUGCAGCUGUGGUCGCGCUAUGUGUUUGACGGGUUGAAACUUAAAUGUCGGACAGACAAGAUGGCACGAGAUUCCCAUUGGCUGCUCCUGUCACAUCCUAAUAUCUUUACUGAAUGUUUUUGAAGAUUUCAUGAUUGUAAAAGACUGACUUGACAUUAAACAAAAAAUAUUCUAUGUGAACUGUUCUUGUCCUAUAUAAAACAGAUUUUAAAUUAAAUUUUUGUUAUUUAAAAUGAAAAACCUUUAAUAGGUUGACUGACCCAGCACUGUCAAAAAACAACCCAGUAAAUGGGUUAAUGUAUAAAACCCAACUAGCUGGGUCAAAAUAACCCAGCAUGUGUUCUGUCUAAUAUUUACCCAGUGCUGGGUUGCCAA